AGUGGGAUCAUUUCUACAGACUACAAAUAGAGGGAAGUUGGCUUGUGCCUUACUAGAGACAGAUGAACCAAUAAAAUGAUUGGAAAGGCUCUUUCCAAGCAUAAGAUAAGCUGAAUCUUGUACAAUUUAUUUCUUAAUAUAUUUUGGUCAGUAUGUUGUUUAUUUUCUGAAAAUGAUACUCCAUUAUAGAUUACCUAUGAUGAAAAUUACAUUCUCUGCGGGCGCUGAUUCAGAUAUAUUACUAUGGGCAAAGGAAGUUCAAAAUUUAUCUCAGUCAAACAUGUGCAAAGGAAAUUCAAAAUAUGUUAUAUUAGGGAAGAUUCUUAAAUCAGUGAAGUAUCUAGAGGGCUGAUUAGGACACUCCUCAUAAUGUUUGAUACUUUACCAUUUGGGAUUAGGCCAUUGGUGAACAUGACAAUGCGGCUGUUGGUCCCGGAUGCCGGGGGCGUGGGCAGGGUUGAGGAGCUCACACGGUGCUAUACAUGACAACCUGCGAGUGGUGGCUGGAGGUG
rnacentral:rRNA from 1 species